CCUAACCAUUCUUAAAGCAGUAACAGGCUUCAGGAAAGAGCAGCAGGGAACAACAUAGGGAGGCAGUAGGCAAACAAAAUGGAGGCAGAGACAACAUGGUUGAUUGAGAAAUUUAAGGUCAAGCAAGAUCAUUUGAAUGAGAGCAAUAAAAGAAAAUAUUACAUUGCCUACGAUGCCAAAAAAAAAAAAAGAGGAAAGAGAAAAUGAAUCUGCAGAAGAAGCAGAGAGGGGAAAAAAUGAAAGAAAAGGGACAGAAAGCGAAGAGCAGGAAAAAAAAAAUCUAAGAGGACAGAAAGAACAACUGACCAAAUUCUUGAAACAUCCCCCCCUCCCCGCCGCCAAAAAACAUCCAAGAACAAAGUGCACUGAUGUGCAGAAAGGACUGCAAAAAGACAUCAAAUACACAUUGGAAACUGAAGAAACAACUGAACAACCAAAUUCUCGCAACAAAACUCCAAAAAGAUACAACAACUUGAAGACAUGGCACAUGUACAAAGGACUUUUUUUUAAUGGUACAUAACGUCUUUUGAGUAGCAAAAUCCUGAAUUCCUGUUAGCUGCUGACUGGAAAGCAUUCCUUUAAAGCAAUGAUUACUGCCUCAAAAAUAGUAAGUGUAUCCUAAGAAUGGAAGAGUAACAACUAACAAUGACAUGGUAGCUUUGGUAUGAAUUUUGUGAACUGUGGAUUUGAAUUGCUUGAGGGCUAUUAGCUCACCUCAGAUGAAAACUGUGGCUUAUUACUAUGGAAAUGAGCCAAGAAAGCUAUGGACUUAUUGCUCCCCUACACUGCUGUGUGAGAGAAGAGUGAAAACUUUUGUUUUCACUUUGAAACAAACUACAAUUUUAUGUUAUACAUAAACUUGAGUAAUUGUGGUUGGUAACUAACUAGACUAGAAUCAACCAGGUUAUCAAAUCCUGGUGUGAUAUUUUGCCUUUUAAAAAACUAUAGUUUGUUAACAAACCACAUUUUCUUGCGUUAUUAUGUAAAGAGGGACAGCAGUUUGUUUUUAAUAUGAAAGUAUAAGUGGCUAGAGAGAGUUUUUCUCCUCUUUCUUAUUUCAACAGGAUCACACAAUGAAAUUGAUUGGCAGUAGAUUUAGGUCAAAAGAAAGCAUUUCUUCACACAAUGUAUGAAGUUAUGAGUUAUGUUGCUGUAAAAUGUGGUGAUGGGCACUAGCUCUAAUUAGCUUUAAAAGGGGAUUAGACACAUUCAUGAGACCGGUCUAUCAACAGCUAUUUGUCAGGAGCGCUACAGGGUAAUAGGGCAGGAUAUGCUGAGAUUGGUGGGUUUGGUUGGCGUGACCAGUUUUGGCAUAUCCUGCCCUACUUCACUCAGGGAACCUGUCACUCAAGAUCUCAGUUACAGAUGUCAGGUUCCCUUUGGGAAGUAGGGUAUGAUAUGCCAAGACUGGUGACUUUGGACAACCUGACCAAUCUCAGCAUAUUGGAACCUACAACAGUAGGGGCCCCUGUUAUGAUGGGCAGGAGCUUGAGUUCUUGGACAGGGGCAACCUCAGGUGCUGCUGCUACAUGUGAACCCACCCUAAAUGGGCCACAUGUAGACAUAUUCCAUAAGAAAGCCAUUUUAAUCUUGUGCAGCAAAAACAGAGUGUACUGACACAUCACAAACCAACACAUUCAUUGUUAGUAUAUUGGCCUAAGCUUCCAUGGAGUAAAGACUACUUUUAUCAGAUGCAUGAAAUGCUGUGCUCAACUGGCAAGGAUAUUUAGCAACAUGGGUAGCGAGAGAAAAAAUGAUUUUGAACAGUGAGACCAAAAGUCCCUGAAAUGCAAGGAGGUAGAUUUCUAUGUAGAGCCCAAUGCAUAUGACAUGUUUCAUCUUGUAUACUUUUAGGAUCUGCAUAGAUAUGUGAACACUUCAUGCAUCAUAUACAUUUGCUAGUCUUUAAGAUGCCACAGGACUCUUUGUAGCAGGGUCACUGACUGAAUCAGCAUAAACAACAAAGAGCUAGCCCAGACUUUAGUAAUAAUCCUCUUCUUCAAGAUAGCAAGCUCUUUGUUUCAUUAUGAUUUGUUAGAAAGUGAGAAUAUCUUUGAACGAGUUCCAGUCACAAUCUGUAAUAUUGGUACAAUAUGUAGAAGUGGUUUAUUUUGAUGUGAACUCCUAGUGUCAAAAUGUGCUAAUUUUCACAGUACAGAAAAGUAUCAGCAAUUUUUUUAUGGAAGUAGAUCAACUGUGUGGGUAACAAUUUCAUUACAUUGUGUUGUCUUACUUGAACAUACAACCCUAGACCAACAUGCCAGUAACUAUACUGUUACCUUUUCUGUUCAGUUGCCAUGUGUUGUCUACUUCUCUAGUGACUUAUUACAACAUCAUACAAUAAAUAGGUAAGCUUAUUCUUCAAUGGUUACUGACAGUCUCACAACUUAGACAUAUUUAAUUCAUACAAGGAAUUUUUCAUUUAGUGUAAACCAGCAUGGGAAAAAUUACUGAUUUUGCAACAUGUGCUUUCUCUGAAGUCACUACAGAAUCAAAACUACACAGUAUAACCCUUUAACUUAACUUACCCAUUCAGUGAUUUUUGUUAUUGAGAAACUUCAUUUUCUAAAUCAUGAAAUGAAAACUACAUUGCAACACCAAAUGUUCAUGCUACAGUGUCCUCAGCUGAACAGCCUGUGUCAUCAAUAGUAAUAAUUUAAGAAAAGGUUUUUUUCAAGCUCAUUAUAUAUACUUUUCUCAUGACUGGGAACUUUAAAAACCCAUCUUGAAUGUAAAAAUGUGAAUUUGAAUAUGUAAACAUUUUUAUAUACCUGAAACACUGAAAGUAAAUAUUAGAUACAAGCCAGAUCACUGCAUUAGUAUGUCAAAAUAAGGAAAAUAAUGUUAUGGGAAGCAGGGAAAAGGUCACCCUAUUCAGUCUUGAAACGUUUCUAAGAAAUAAAGUUCAACUGGCUUUUUAAAAAUACUGCCUAGUUGGGAGCAGUUAUGUGGAGAAAAUGGCCCAGCAGAAUAUCACAAUGUUUCACCAUAAUCAUUUAUCCAUUAGUUAAACGUUGACAGUUUUUAUUUUCCUGAGUAAAGUCAUUGAUGUUUCAAUGUCUCCUGUAAUUGUUCAAAUAAAAUAAGGCAGUUAAAGGUAAUGUCACUGAUUUUUUCCCCCCUUCCAGAAGUUCAUCUGCAGAGUCUUCAAUAGAACAAAGUCUCUGGUUUUUCUAGAAAUGAAUAAUAAAGUUGCCUUCGGUCCCCCA